UUUUUUGUUUGUUUGUUUUUGAGGCUAGAUGCAUUGCAGGAUCUUGAGGCACAAAGGAGUGUCGGCAGUAGAUGAAUGAAGGUAUCCAGACCAAGCCAGAAAUGCAAUGGAAAUCAUCUGCACUUAAGCUCUGCACUUCCUUAUCUGAGGUUCUAGUGCAUGUUUGUGUGAGCAUGGGAGCAAGGCACAGGAGCCUGGCCAGCAGAGCAGGACUUGGAGAGGUGCUGCGAAUCAGCGUGCGAUGGGUUUAUCAGCACCAGUAAUCUGCUCUCAAAGAGCUGUCAGUCUCGCUGCCAGAAGCUGAGCUCGCCCAUUAAAACC